rnacentral:rRNA from 1 species
AUGGGUCUGCCAACAAGUGAUGAAAUGCAAAAGCAAGACAUGCUCAAGAAAUUCAUGUCUUGGGUAAGUGGCAACAUGCUCAUCGUCCUACUUUGUAUGCAUUGUCUAACUUCUCAACCUGGUGUAUCUGACCGAGCUUUUCAUUGCAACACCCAGAAAUGGUGCCUUAGCUUUAACUGUCAAGCUAAAUCUAUGUAUUUGUCCCUUCAGAUAUAUGGCACACAUUUUAUUUCAAAAGAAGAAUUGAUUGAUCGAGAAGCUGCAAACUAUUUCAGUUUGCAUAUGCUUUCAGCGUCGAAAAUAAUUUAG